UGAGACAAUAUAUUUCUGUUGUUUUAAGCCUCCCAGUUAAUGGUGAUUUGUUAUGGCAGCGUUGGGAAACUCAUCCAAUGGGAAUAUUCACUUAUUGCAAGUGAAGUGUGAGACACUGAUGAGAAUAAAAGGGGAAACAGGCUCACACAAUCACAACCCCUUCUCCCAAUAAAAGGAAAAAAGAUGCAAUGCCUUAGAAAACCCUGAGAACUUGCUACCGUAGCCACGGCUGCAGG
rnacentral:lncRNA from 1 species